rnacentral:rRNA from 1 species
UACGGAAGGCAGCAGUGGGGAAUAUUGCACAAUGGGCGAAAGCCUGAUGCAGCUAUGCCGCGUGUAUGAAGAAGGCCUUAGGGUUGUAAAGUACUUUCAUCGGGGAGGAAAAAACAAAACUAAUAAUUUUAUUUCUUGACGUUACCCGAAAAAGAAGCACCGGCUAACUCCGUGCCAGCAGCCGCGGUAAUACGGAGGGUGCUAGCGUUAAUCAGAAUUACUGGGCGUAAAGAGCACGUAGGUGGUUUUUUUAAGUCAGAUGUGAAAUCCCUGGGCUUAACCUGGAAACUGCAUUUUGAAACUGAAAUACUAGAGUAUCGUAGAGGGAGGUAGAAUUCUAGGUGUAGCGGUGAAAUGCGUAGAUAUCUGGAGGAAUACCUGUGGCGAAAGCGGCCUCCUAAACGAAUACUGACACUGAGGUGCGAAAGCGUGGGGAGCAAACAGGGAUUAGAUACC